UCUUGUGGAUGAGCAAAGAGAGCCGUUUUUUGAGAUGGAAUCGACUCCUGGUGAAGAUGUUGUGAA
rnacentral:pre_miRNA from 2 species